UACGGGGGGGGCAAGCGUUGUUCGGAAUUACUGGGCGUAAAGGGCUCGUAGGUGGCCAACUAAGUCGGACGUGAAAUCCCUCGGCUUAACCGGGGAACUGCGUCCGAUACUGGUUGGCUUGAGUUUGGGAGAGGGAUGCGGAAUUCCAGGUGUAGCGGUGAAAUGCGUAGAUAUCAGGAGGAACACCGGUGGCGAAGGCGGCUACCUGGACAGAAACUGACGCUGAGGCGCGAAAGCUAGGGGAGCAAACAGG
rnacentral:rRNA from 1 species